UAUAGGUAUCCAUACGAGACUGAUCUGAUCAGGAGAUCCCGAUCUCAUUGGGGUGCUAGCUUUCUUAUGGAGAUCACUCUUUGGAUUGUCAAAUCUUUUAUCUCUUUUGAUUCUCUUCUCAAGAAAAUCAAAGAGAUCUAUAGGAUGAUCAAAAAAUUAGAUUUAAUCUGAUUUUUUUUUCCUUUCUCUUCUCAAGGGAAAGA
rnacentral:lncRNA from 1 species